CCUACGGGAGGCAGCAGUGGGGAAUAUUGCACAAUGGGGGGAACCCUGAUGCAGCGACGCCGCGUGGGUGAAGGAGUACUUCGGUACGUAAAGCCCUAUCAGCAGGAAAGAAAAUGACGGUACCUGACUAAGAAGCCCCGGCUAACUACGUGCCAGCAGCCGCGGUAAUACGUAGGGGGCAAGCGUUAUCCGGAUUUAUUGGGUUUAAAGGGUGCGUAGGCGGACUGUUAAGUCAGCGGUAAAAGCCCGGGGCUCAACCCCGGCGAGCCGUUGAAACUGGCUGUCUUGAGAUGUCGAGAGGUAUGCGGAAUGCGCAGUGUAGCGGUGAAAUGCUUAGAUAUUGCGCAGAACUCCGAUUGCGAAGGCAGCAUACCGGCGGCGAUCUGACGCUGAGGCACGAAAGCGUGGGUAUCGAACAGGAUUAGAUACCCUAGUAGUC
rnacentral:rRNA from 1 species